GCUCAACCGGGAAGGGUCAUUGGAAACUGGGGAACUUGAGUGCAGAAGAGGAGAGUGGAAUUCCACGUGUAGUGGUGAAAUGCGUAGAGAUGUGGAGGAACACCAGUGGCGAAGGCGACUCUCUGGUCUGUAACUGACGCUGAGGCGCGAAAGCGUGGGGAGCGAACAGGAUUAGAUACCCUGGUAGUCCACGCCGUAAACGAUGAGUGCUAAGUGUUAGAGGGUUUCCGCCCUUUAGUGCUGCAGCAAACGCAUUAAGCACUCCGCCUGGGGAGUACGGUCGCAAGACUGAAACUCAAAGGAAUUGACGGGGGCCCGCACAAGCGGUGGAGCAUGUGGUUUAAUUCGAAGCAACGCGAAGAACCUUACCAGGUCUUGACAUCCUCUGACAACCCUAGAGAUAGGGCUUCCCCUUCGGGGGCAGAGUGACAGGUGGUGCAUGGUUGUCGUCAGCUCGUGUCGUGAGAUGUUGGGUUAAGUCCCGCAACGAGCGCAACCCUUGAUCUUAGUUGCCAGCAUUCAGUUGGGCACUCUAAGGUGACUGCCGGUGACAAACCGGAGGAAGGUGGGGAUGACGUCAAAUCAUCAUGCCCCUUAUGACCUGGGCUACACACGUGCUACAAUGGGCAGAACAAAG
rnacentral:rRNA from 1 species